rnacentral:ncRNA from 1 species
ACCAAGGAGUCUAACAUGUGCGCGAGCCGCGGGGCAGUACGAAACCCGUAAGGCGAAAUGAAGGUGAACGCCGGCGCGGUCCGGCGGAGGUUGGAUCCCGUCCCGUCGGGGCGGGCGCACUACCGGCCGAUCUUCUCCGCCCUGUCGGCGAGGUCGAGCGAGAGCGUGCAAGUCGGGACCCGAAAGAUGGUGAACUAUGCCUGAGGAGGUUGAAGCCAGAGGAAACUCUGGUGGAGGACCGUAGCGAUUCUGACGUGCAAAUCGAUCGUCAAAUUUGGGUAUAGGGGCGAAAGACUAAUCGAACCGUCUAGUAGCUGGCUCCCUUCGAAGUUUCCCUCAGGAUAGCUGGCGCUCUGUCG